AUCCAGUUGAUGAGUCCAAUAUAGGACGAAACGCGCAUCCUGGAU
rnacentral:hammerhead_ribozyme from 1 species